rnacentral:rRNA from 1 species
AGUGAACGCUGGCGGUAGGCCUAACACAUGCAAGUCGAACGGCAGCACAGUAAGAGCUUGCUCUUACGGGUGGCGAGUGGCGGACGGGUGAGGAAUACAUCGGAAUCUACUUUUUCGUGAGGGAUAACGUAGGGAAACUUACGCUAAUACCGCAUACGACCUACGGGUGAAAGCAGGGGAUCUUCGGACCUUGAGCGAUUGAAUGAGCCGAUGUCGGAUUAGCUAGUUGGCGGGGUAAAGGCCCACCAAGGCGACGAUCCGUAGCUGGUCUGAGAGGAUGAUCAGCCACACUGGAACUGAGACACGGUCCAGACUCCUACGGGAGGCAGCAGUGGGGAAUAUUGGACAAUGGGCGCAAGCCUGAUCCAGCCAUACCGCGUGGGUGAAGAAGGCCUUCGGGUUGUAAAGCCCUUUUGUUGGGAAAGAAAAGCAGCAGGUUAAUACCCCGCUGUUCUGACGGUACCCAAAGAAUAAGCACCGGCUAACUUCGUG